GCCCCCGUAGCUCAGGCGGAUAGAGCACGGGAUUCCUAAUCCCGGAGUCGGAGGUUCGAGUCCUCCCGGGGGCG
rnacentral:tRNA from 2 species